UACGUAGGUGGCGAGCGUUGUCCGGAUUUAUUGGGUUUAAAGGGUGCGUCGGCGGCCCUAUAAGUCAGUGGUGAAAUAUCGCAGCUUAACUGUGAGGGUGCCAUUGAUACUGUAGGGCUUGAGUGAAUUUGAGGUAGGCGGAAUUGACGGUGUAGCGGUGAAAUGCUUAGAUAUCGUCAAGAACACCGAUAGUGAAGACAGCUUACCAAGCUUCAACUGACGCUGAGGCACGAAAGUGUGGGGAUCAAACAGG
rnacentral:rRNA from 1 species